UGCCAGCCGCCGCGGUAAUACGGAGGGUGCGAGCGUUAAUCGGAAUUACUGGGCGUAAAGCGCGCGUAGGCGGCUUGGUCAGUCGGAUGUGAAAGCCCCGGGCUUAACCUGGGAAUUGCAUUCGAUACUGCCGAGCUAGAGUAUGGGAGAGGGAAGUGGAAUUUCCGGUGUAGCGGUGAAAUGCGUAGAUAUCGGAAGGAACACCAGUGGCGAAGGCGGCUAACUGGCUCGGUACUGACGCUGAGAUGCGAAAGCGUGGGGAGCAAACAGGAUUAGAUA
rnacentral:rRNA from 1 species